rnacentral:rRNA from 1 species
AGUGAACGCUGGCGGUAUGCCUAACACAUGCAAGUCGAACGGCAGCACAGUAAGCUCUUGCUCUUACUGUUGGCGACUGACGGACGGGUAAGACGUACAUCACCUUCUUAUAUUUCUUGGGUAAUUUCGUGAAGCAAUUUCUGCUACUACCUCAUACUUCCUACGGGUUAAUUCAGGAGUUCUUCGCACUCUGCCCGUUUCUUUUAGCCGAUGUCGCAUUAGCUAGUUGGCGUGGUAAGGUCACACCAAGGCAACGAUCCGUAGCCGAUCUGAGAGGAUGAUCGGCCACACUGGAACUGAGACACGGUCCAGACUCCUACGGGAGGCAGCAGUGGGGAAUAUUGGACAAUGGGCGAAAGCCUGACCGAGCAAUACCGCGUGGGUGAAGAAGGCCUUCGGGUCGUAAAGCUCUGUUGUUAGGAAAGAAAAGAAGCAGAAGAAAACGCGGAUGUCCUGACGGUACCUAAAGAAAAAGCAACGGCUAACUUCGUG